rnacentral:rRNA from 1 species
UACGUAGGGUGCAAGCGUUGUCCGGAAUUAUUGGGCGGAAAGAGCUCGUAGGCGGUCUGUCGCGUCGGCUGUGAAAACUCGGGGCUCAACUCCGAGCUUGCAGUCGAUACGGGCAGGCUAGAGUUCGGCAGGGGAGACUGGAAUUCCUGGUGUAGCGGUGAAAUGCGCAGAUAUCAGGAGGAACACCGGUGGCGAAGGCGGGUCUCUGGGCCGAUACUGACGCUGAGGAGCGAAAGCGUGGGGAGCGAACAGG